AAUUUUGGACAAUGGGGGCAACCCUGAUCCAGCCAUCCCGCGUGUGCGAUGAAGGCCUUCGGGUUGCAAAGCACUUUUGGCAGGGAAGAAAAGGCUCUGGCUAAUACCUGGAGCUGCUGACGGUACCUGCAGAAUAAGCACCGGCUAACUACGUGCCAGCAGCCGCGGUAAAACGUAGGGUGCAAACGUUAAACGGAAUUACUGGGCGUAAAAGCUGGGCAGGGCGUUCGGCAAAAAAGAUAGGAAAACCCCAGGGUUAACCCUUGAAAUGCCUUCUUAAAUGCCCGGGUAAAGGAUGGCAGGGGGGGGGAGAAUUCCGGGUGUAGGAAGGGAAAGCGUAGAGAUGCGGAGGAAUACCGAUGGCGAAGGCAGCCCCCUGGGAUAAUACUGACGCUCAUGCACGAAAGCGUGGGGAGCAAACA
rnacentral:rRNA from 1 species